rnacentral:rRNA from 1 species
GACGAACGCUGGCGGCGUGCCUAAUACAUGCAAGUAGAACGCUGAAGAGAGGAGCUUGCUCUUCUUGGAUGAGUUGCGAACGGGUGAGUAACGCGUAGGUAACCUGCCUUGUAGCGGGGGAUAACUAUUGGAAACGAUAGCUAAUACCGCAUAACAAUGGAUGACACAUGUCAUUUAUUUGAAAGGGGCAAUUGCUCCACUACAAGAUGGACCUGCGUUGUAUUAGCUAGUAGGUGAGGUAAUGGCUCACCUAGGCGACGAUACAUAGCCGACCUGAGAGGGUGAUCGGCCACACUGGGACUGAGACACGGCCCAGACUCCUACGGGAGGCAGCAGGAGGGAAUCUUCGGCAAUGGGGGCAACGCUGACCGAGCAACGCCGCGUGAGGGAAGAAGGGUUUCGGAUCGUAAAGUUCUGUUGUAAGUCAAGAACGGGUGUGGGAGUGGAAAGUUCACACUGUGACGGUAGCUUACCAGAAGGGGACGGCUAACUACGUG